rnacentral:rRNA from 1 species
GACAGAGGCCUCAAGCGCUAGGCGGAAUCACUGGGCUUAAAGCGUGUGUAGGCGGAUCGUUAAGUGUCUUGUGAAAUCCCACGGCUCACCCGUGGAACUGCUGGGCAUACUGGCGAUCUUGGGCCAACUAGGGGCAACUGGAACAAGCGGUGGAGCGGUGAAAUGCGUAGAUAUCGCUUGGAACGCCAAAGGUGAAAACAGGUUGCUGGGGUUGUGCCGACGCUGAGACACGAAAGCCAGGGGAGCAAACGGG